GGUACACACACUCUGUGUAGUGAUGUAAUAGUGGUGUCAGGCAGGAGAUGCUGCAGUCAUCAGGAGGAACGAGUUCAGGCACAUCUCAGGAAGGAAUGUUGCUCAGGGAUGGAUGCCUUUCACGGUUGUUUUCCCAGCUGGCUGAAGGGUAAUGGUAGUGGAGGCUGCAUGUGGUUUUCGCAGUCCUGCACAACAGCCUUGGAGACAGCCUCCAAGGCACUACUGUGGCCCCAAGAGAGCUCACUGAGAUGCUACAGCACAUUGGAAUCAAGAAAACACAGAAAAAUAAACCUACCCAGAACUCAUAUCCUCAUGGCUGUGUGUGGGGCUGAGAGCAUCUGCCACAAUGAUUGUUGGCAAAAAGAGGUGAUUUGGGAAGGAAAUGCACCGGAGAAAUUAAGCCCUUUAAUACAGGAUAGAACAGAGAUCUUUAAGGUCACAGCUGAUGGCAGCAGGGCUGGUGAUGCCUCUGUGCCUGACAACGUUCACGUCCAGCUCUGGGAUGCACCAAACUCAACCCAAAGUGGGGUUCUUGCACUGCUCUCUAGCACCAAGAAUUCCAGCUGUCCCCAGCAAAGAGUUGCCCCAGGCCCAGUCCGUGCCAACAAAAACCUGUGCAGCAGUCAUAAGAUUACAACCCAGCUGUGGGCAUCAGGUUAAGUCUCC
rnacentral:lncRNA from 1 species